rnacentral:rRNA from 1 species
CCUACGGGAGACAGCAGUAGGGAAUAUUGCUCAAUGGGGGAAACCCUGAAGCAGCAACGCCGCGUGGAGGAUGAAGGUUUUCGGAUUGUAAACUCCUUUUGUUAGAGAAGAUAAUGACGGUAUCUAACGAAUAAGCCCCGGCUAACUCCGUGCCAGCAGCCGCGGUCAUACGGAGGGUGCAAGCGUUACUCGGAAUCACUGGGCGUAAAGAGCGCGUAGGCGGGAUAGCAAGUCAGAUGUGAAAUCCUAUGGCUUAACCAUAGAACUGCAUUUGAAACUGUUAUUCUAGAGUAUGGGAGAGGUAGGUGGAAUUCUUGGUGUAGGGGUAAAAUCCGUAGAGAUCAAGAGGAAUACUCAUUGCGAAGGCGACCUGCUAGAACAUAACUGACGCUGAUGCGCGAAAGUGUGGGGAGCAAACAGGAUUAGAUACCCGAGUAGUC